rnacentral:rRNA from 1 species
GACGAACGCUGGCGGCGUGCCUAACACAUGCAAGUCGAGCGAAGUGAGUACUACGGUACGAACUUAGCGGCGGACGGGUGAGUAACGCGUGGACAAUCUACCCUGUAGACUGGGAUAACACCUCGAAAGGGGUGCUAAUACCGGAUAAUGUCGAGAAGCGGCAUCGCUUUUCGAAGAAAGGAGAGAAUCCGCUAUAGGAGGAGUCCGCGUCCCAUUAGCUAGUUGGUGAGGGUAACGGUCCACCAAGGCGACGAUGGGUAGCCGGCCUGAGAGGGUGAACGGCCACACUGGUACUGAGACACGGUCCAGACUCCUACGGGAGGCAGCAGUGGGGAAUAUUGUGCAAUGGGGGAAACCCUGACACAGCAACGCCGCGUGAGCGAAGAAGGCCUUCGGGUUGUAAAGCUCAAUAGUAUGGGAAGAUAAUGACGGUACCAUACGAAAGCCCCGGCUAACUACGUGCCAGCCGCCGCGGUAAAAC